CGAUGGGCCUUCACCCCGUGCCGGCUUCACGCUCUCUGACGAGCGCCCGGAGAAAGGAAGUCUGGAAGGGUUCAUGAGAAAGAGAAGCAAGGCGGAGAAUUCACGGCCCCACACCAAGCCAGUAUCACUUCUGCCUUAACUUCCUUGAAGCUGAAGGGGAAGAAAUUAGAAGCUGAACGAAAAGGUCACCUCCCUUCAAGCUGGAAAGACGUCUAGUUUCUAGAAGCGCCUCCAAAAAUGGGAAGCCGGGUUUCCAGCGUAGUUUCCACUGGGUGCCGGAGCAAACACUGCAUCUCCUGGAACGGCCCCGGGCAGGUCGGAGGCGCCCGCCUCCAAGUCCAGCUAACACUCCAUUGAGCAGUAACACCGUACCCUGUUUCUCCGUGUUCCCCUUGACAAAGGUCCACGUGCAACCUCCAGAGGAAAACGUAGGCAAAAACCAGAGGGACAGGAGUGAGGAGGGCGCUGAGCUGAACACAGCACCUGCUCCCUGGGGUUCCAGGUCCCCCAAGGCCGGCGCCCUCUGAGCCUUCGGGUUGGGCUCACCCCUUAAGGGGUGUUCCUCAUGCAUUUAGGACUGGAUCCGAUUUGCAGAAACUCAGGUGGCUGCCCCCAGGGGCAGCCCAUCGUGUCCUGGGGGAGCUGAGAGGAGUCCCAUCGGUAACACGUGUGUCACAGAAUCAGCGAUCGGGAGCUGGGUUAAAAAUAGAACAUGAGACAAGUUUCGUA